GUCGAAUCAUUCAAAGAAGACCCGUUUUAUUCAGUUGUGGUUUCUGCUCAUAGAUGGCGCUGGUGGUUGUCCAGAAUUUUUACAAACUGUCCAAGAUUUUUGACGGUUGUCCAACUUUAGGAAGACGUUUGGCCUAUCUCAAGCACGCAAAUAUGACAUAGCCACAAAAGUGUCCAGAAUUAGUGACACUACCCUAGCUAGUUAUUUAUUCAGUUUGAUGGAAUUUCACAAAAUUUUUAUGCUGGCAUCCCCUUGGGUUGCCAGAGAAAGUAAUACUUUAAUAUAUUGUAAUAUAAAAAAUCUGUACAGAAUUCAAACGGGAAAUUGUCAUCGUUUAUUCCACAUGACCUCCAGUCAAACAAAAAAAAAGCACUGAGCUAGAAAGGCGAGAUAGCACAAAAUAAUAACCGAGCUCAACAUGAAACACAUCGCCUAAGGGACCUUAAGGUCCCAUACGAUCCAGACUGAUUUAAGAAUUUGAAUAACGAAGCCUCACAACGUUAAUGCUGUACUUAUUUACAUAGUGAAAAAGAAUAUAUCUACUUUCAUUUGUGACAAUAUUGUUUUAUUUUUCGUGAGUCAUUACAUGUUAGGGAAAAUGCAUUUUUUGUUCUGCUAAUCCAAUAUGAUUCGGAACGGCUUAUAACAUUUAUAUAGCUUGUUAGCAUGCCCUAU